CCUACGGGGGGCUGCAGUCGAGAAUAGUCUACAAUGGUCGAAAGACUGAUAGUGCGACGCCGCGUGAACGAAGACUCCUUUCGGGGUGUAAAGUUCUUUUAUAUGUGAGCAGUGGAUGUUACAUUAAUAGUGUGAUAUCAGGGAUAUUAGCAUAUGAAUAAGCAACGGCUAACUCCGUGCCAGCAGCCGCGGUAACACGGGGGUUGCGAGCGUUGUCCGGAAUUACUAGGCGUAAAGGGCAGGUAGGCGGAGAUGUAAGUUUGAUGUUAAAGGUACUGGCUCACCCAGUGUACGGCAUCAGAUACUGCAUUUCUUGAAUACGGUUGGGGAAGACAGAAUUCCUGGUGUAGCGGUGGAAUGCGCAGAGAUCAGGAGGAAUACCGAAGGCGAAGGCAGUCUUCUAAGCCGGUUAUUGACGCUAAACUGCGAAGGUGUGGGUAUCAAACAGGAUUAGAUACCCCAGUAGUC
rnacentral:rRNA from 1 species